rnacentral:piRNA from 1 species
UUUUUCUUAACCUAAAGCAGA